rnacentral:rRNA from 1 species
AGAGUUUGAUCCUGGCUCAGAAUAAACGCUGGCGGCGUGCUUAACACAUGCAAGUCGUACGAGAAAGCCGAGAGCUUGCUUUUGGAGAGUAAAGUGGCGCACGGGUGCGUAACGCGUGGAUAAUCUACCUUCGAAUCCGGGAUAACAUUGCGAAAGCGAUGCUAAUACCGGAUGAUAUUCAUUUUACUUCGGUGAAUUGAAUCAAAGACGGCCUCUUCUUGAAAGCCGUUGUUUGGAGAUGAGUCCGCGUACCAUUAGCUUGUUGGUGGGGUAACGGCCCACCAAGGCUACGAUGGUUAGCUGGUCUGAGAGGAUGAUCAGCCACACUGGGACUGACACACGGCCCAGACUCCUACGGGAGGCAGCAGUGAGGAAUUUUGCGCAAUGGGGGAAACCCUGACGCAGCAAUGCCGCGUGAGUGAUGAAGGCCCUUGGGUCGUAAAGCUCUGUCAAGUGGGAAGAACUGGUUUGCGGUUAAUACCCGCAGAUUUUGACGGUACCACUGAAGGAAGCACCGGCUAACUCCGUGCCAGCAGCCGCGGUAAUACGGGGGGUGCAAGCGUUAUUCGGAAUUAUUGGGCGUAAAGCGCGCGUAGGCGGUUUCGUAGGUCAGAUGUGAAAGCCCGGGGCUCAACCCCGGAAGUGCAUUUGAAACCCCGAGACUUGAGUCUGAUAGAGGGAAGUGGAAUUCCAGGUGUAGAGGUGAAAUUCGUAGAUAUCAGGAGGAACACCGGUGGCGAAGGCGACUACCUGGACCAAUACUGACGCUGAGGCUCGAAGGCGUGGGGAGCAAACAGGAUUAGAUACCCUGGUAGUCCACGCAGUAAACGUUGUUCACUAGGUGUAGCGGGUAUUGACCCCUGCUGUGCCGCAGCUAACGCAUUAAGUGAACCGCCUGGGGAGUACGGUCGCAAGAUUAAAACUCAAAGGAAUUGACGGGGGCCCGCACAAGCGGUGGAGCAUGUGGUUUAAUUCGACGCAACGCGAAGAACCUUACCUGGAUUUGACAUCCCGGGAAUCCUAUCGAAAGUAGACAGCGCCCUUCGGGGAACGCUAGUGGAGGUGCUGCAUGGCUGUCGUCAGCUCGUGUCGUGAGAUGUUGGGUUAAGUCCCGCAACGAGCGCAACCCUUGCCCUUAGUUGCCAUCGCGUAAAGGCGGGCACUCUAGGGGGACUGCCCGGGACAACCGGGAGGAAGGUGGGGAUGACGUCAAGUCCUCAUGGCCCUUAUGUCCAGGGCUACACACGUGCUACAAUGGCCGGUACAGAGGGUCGCGAAGUCGCGAGAUGGAGCUAAUCCCCUAAAGCCGGUCUCAGUACGGAUUGGAGUCUGCAACUCGACUCCAUGAAGUUGGAAUCGCUAGUAAUCGCGGAUCAGCAUGCCGCGGUGAAUACGUUCCCGGGCCUUGUACACACCGCCCGUCACAUCACGAAAGUUGGCUGCACUAGAAGUCGCUGGGCUAACCCUUCGGGGAGGCAGGCGCCGAAAGUGUGGUUGGCGAUUGGGGUGAAGUCGUAACAAGGUAGCC